AAAAAGGCAAUAACCUUAAAAUGUCAAAGACUGAAUAAAUAAAUAAAUUGAUCCAACUCAAUAACUUCAUCAACCAGAGAGAUUAGAUUUUACAUAAAAUAAAUAAUCUCAAAAUUGCAAAUAUUGCCUAUAAAAUUUGAAUGUUAAUUAGACAUCAAAAUAUCAAGAAACCAUUGAAACAUGCAUGAUUCAUAUGCCUGACAUAUCUAAAUCAAUCUGAUGUAUGAAAAUAUAAAUUAUAUCGUUCUUGAAACUGAUGAAGGUGAAUGUGCUGAGUGCAAUGGCUGGACCCAAAACUUUGUUCUCUACCUUUGGUAAUAAAACUAAACUGUCUACUCCGAUUGGUUUUGUCCAUUUCUUGAUAAUUGGUAACCUGUGAGCCCUCUAUCUUGGCGGGGAUUCGGCCUAUAAUAACCAUUUCCUCUUGAUCUAUUGUAAUCUCGGUCACCUACAUCAUAGCCACCACCUCUGCCAAAACUUCUACCACCAAAACGACCCCCUGGAGCAUCUGUUGGGUAGUUGCCCCUGCCUCUACCCCUUCCUCCUGUUUAGAAUAUGCCAAUCACAACAAAAUUACCAAAUUGAUAUUAUCUAAAUUACUUCAUCUAGCCAUUUGUUUUUCUUUCUGCAAGACUAACACAGGGAUUAGACAUUUAUCACCAUCUAUGCAUUACUGUCAUGAGUUUGGCAGAGAGUGGGAAAAUUAACAAAAAGAUUUAGUGAAAAUCAUAAUAGCAAAUUUUGUUAUGCAUCCCUAGAAACAAAAAGCAAAACAUAAUGACAGGAAAUUGUAGCAAAAAAUUUCUGCUUUGCAAGCUAGACUUGAUAGUAUCUUAUAAAUAUUGAUAUUCCAGGCUGCCCUUAGAGUCUGCUUGGAUAAUGGUGAAGGAAGGGGUAAAUAAAGGUAAAGAGGGAUAAGUGAAAUAUGUGCCCUAUUUGGAAAGGAGUGAAUCAAUGGUGAAUAAGGGUAAAUAAGGGUAAGUCACAGGAGAAGCACAGCCACAGGAGUUGUAGUAUUAAGCCAAAGCCACAGGAGAAGCACCAAUGUGGUGAUGUUCAAAAUUUAAUCACUGGUAUUGUAGAUUUAACUCCACUCACUCAGAAGUAAGUGAAUAGGAAGCAUAAUAUAAAUAUUAAUAAUGAGAAGAUAGGGAAUGAGAACGCAUACUUCCUGCACGGGAUGGGAUGUUGCUAUUUGGUCUCCGCUCUUCAAUGUAUACUUGCCGCCCAGUAACAUGUGCGCUACCCGCCUGAAGACAUAAUGUAAUAGUUUUAAACGCACAAUAGUAAAAAUAAACCACAGGUCGUGAGCAUAUAUGGACAGA
rnacentral:misc_RNA from 1 species